rnacentral:rRNA from 1 species
AUUGAACGCUAGCGGGAUGCUUUACACAUGCAAGUCGAACGGCAGCGCGGACUUCGGUCUGGCGGCGAGUGGCGAACGGGUGAGUAAUGUAUCGGAACGUGCCCAGUAGCGGGGGAUAACUACGCGAAAGCGUAGCUAAUACCGCAUACGCCCUACGGGGGAAAGCAGGGGAUCGUAAGACCUUGCACUAUUGGAGCGGCCGAUAUCGGAUUAGCUAGUUGGUGAGGUAACGGCUCACCAAGGCGACGAUCCGUAGCUGGUUUGAGAGGACGACCAGCCACACUGGGACUGAGACACGGCCCAGACUCCUACGGGAGGCAGCAGUGGGGAAUUUUGGACAAUGGGGGCAACCCUGAUCCAGCCAUCCCGCGUGUGCGAUGAAGGCCUUCGGGUUGUAAAGCACUUUUGGCAGGAAAGAAACGUCGCGGGCUAAUACCCCGUGGAACUGACGGUACCUGCAGAAUAAGCACCGGCUAACUACAUG